AUACGGAGGAUCCGAGCGUUAUCCGGAUUUAUUGGGUUUAAAGGGUGCGUAGGCGGCCUUUUAAGUCAGCGGUGAAAGUCUGUGGCUCAACCAUAGCAUUGCCGUUGAAACUGGGGGGCUUGAGUAUGUUUGAGGCAGGCGGAAUGCGUGGGGUAGCGGUGAAAUGCAUAGAUAUCACGCAGAACCCCGAUUGCGAAGGCAGCCUGCCAAGCCAUGACUGACGCUGAUGCACGAAAGCGUGGGGAUCAAACAGGAUUAGAUACCCUGGUAGUCCACGCAGUAAACGAUGAUUACUAGCUGUUUGCGAUACACUGUAAGCGGCACAGCGAAAGCGUUAAGUGAUCCACCUGGGGAGUACGCCGGCAACGGUGAAACUCAAAUGAAUUGACGGGG
rnacentral:rRNA from 1 species